AUAGAAAAAAAGAAAAGGGCAGAGAAAUUAACUUCAGAGAAUGGGUAUCAACGAGAUCAAUUGGAAUGAAAUCAAAUCACCAAUAUUCACUUCAUCCACCUCGCAGCACCUGGCGGCGCCGCUGGAGCUAGAGGAAGGCAAGGCCACGCUGAAGCCACAGUAGCAGCGAGCGGCGCUGAAGACGACGAAGAGGAAACCUGCUUCAGCAGCGGCCAGAGGUAGCUCGAGUAGAAGCGGCGGAAUCCGCCGAGCGCCGAGACGACCAGCACGCGCUCGCUCUCUCUCUCGUUCCCAACGAUCACCGAUCUCUCUCUCUCACUACUCCUCUCCGACGAUCUCAAUAUCGGCGUUGCUGCCCUAGGGAAUGAUUUUCUUCCUCACAUUCCCAGCCUUGCAAACCAUGAGGGUUGUAUUUAUCUGUUGAUGGAUGUAUAUAUGAAAGAAUUGCAAAAUCUUGGAGGUUACUUGGUGAACAUGGAGAAGGUUGGGGAUGUGGUGCUCUUGAAGAGUUUGUUCAAUUCUAGAAAAAUUGUGGCUAAAGGGUGGGUUCGAAGUGUAGAUCCCAAUCACGAUGUUGGAGGAAAACGACUAGGAUUAAAUUGGGGUGAAGUUCAAGUUUCAGUUCCCUGUAGAAUGGGAAGAAGAUUUGAUUAGGCCAUAUUCAAACUUGUCCACAAUUGGAGAUGCAAUUGGAGCAUGCAAUGCAUGGCCUCGACACUUGGUGACCGACGACGAUGAUGAUUAAUGAAGAAGAUUGAUCGUGCUGGCUGCUGUUCUCUUUUUCCGUUGUCUUUUUUUUGGUCUUUGCCACGACAAAAUCAAUGAAAAAAACUUAGUUAUGGUUAUUUCCUUAAAAAUCUUGUGAGUUUAAUUAAGUUUUAACAUAGUUAUAGCUUUGGGGACAUACACGAGUGGUGGAGCAGAUGUAUUUCAUAAGUUCUUAAAGUUUGUUGUUUUGCAACGAGUUCAGUUGGAAAAUAUAAAUGAAUUUAGCAAUAUUUCUAUGGUUACAA